rnacentral:rRNA from 1 species
GAUGAACGCUGGCGGCGUGCCUAAUACAUGCAAGUCGAGCGAACAGAUGAGGAGCUUGCUCCUCUGACGUUAGCGGCGGACGGGUGAGUAACACGUGGAUAACCUACCUAUAAGACUGGGAUAACUUCGGGAAACCGGAGCUAAUACCGGAUAAUAUAUUGAACCGCAUGGUUCAAUAGUGAAAGACGGUUUUGCUGUCACUUAUAGAUGGAUCCGCGCCGCAUUAGCUAGUUGGUAAGGUAACGGCUUACCAAGGCAACGAUGCGUAGCCGACCUGAGAGGGUGAUCAGCCACACUGGAACUGAGACACGGCCCAGACUCCUACGGGAGGCAGCAGUGGGGAAUUUUCGGCAAUGGGCGAAAGCCUGACGGAGCAACGCCGCGUGAGUGAUGAAGGUCUUCGGGUCGUAAAACGCUGUUAUUAGGGAAGAAAAAAUGUGUAAGUAACUAUGCACGUCUUGACGGUACCUAAACAAAAAGCCACGGCUAACUACGUG